GAGCCCGCCCUGGGCAGCACAUACACUGAAACUGGAAAUACAGAGAUCAGCACAGCCCUUGUGCAAGGAUGACAUGCAAAUGUGUGAAGCAUGUUCCAUAUUU